CAGUCCUACGGGGCGCAGCAGUGAGGAAUAUUGGUCAAUGGGCGGGAGCCUGAACCAGCCAAGUCGCGUGAAGGAAGAAGGUACUUAGUAUUGUAAACCUCUUUUGUCGGGGAGCAAAGAGAGUCACGUGUGACUCAUUGAGAGUACCCGAAGAAAAAGCAUCGGCUAACUCCGUGCCAGCAGCCGCGGUAAUACGGAGGAUGCGAGCGUUAUCCGGAUUUAUUGGGUUUAAAGGGU
rnacentral:rRNA from 1 species